GAUGAACGCUGGCGGCGUGCCUAAUACAUGCAAGUCGAGCGAACAGACGAGGAGCUUGCUCCUCUGACGUUAGCGGCGGACGGGUGAGUAACACGUGGAUAACCUACCUAUAAGACUGGGAUAACUUCGGGAAACCGGAGCUAAUACCGGAUAAUAUAUUGAACCGCAUGGUUCAAUAGUGAAAGACGGUUUUGCUGUCACUUAUAGAUGGAUCCGCGCCGCAUUAGCUAGUUGGUAAGGUAACGGCUUACCAAGGCAACGAUGCGUAGCCGACCUGAGAGGGUGAUCGGCCACACUGGAACUGAGACACGGUCCAGACACCUACGGGAGGCAGCAGUAGGGAAUCUUCCGCAAUGGGCGAAAGCCUGACGGAGCAACGCCGCGUGAGUGAUGAAGGUCUUCGGAGCGUAAAACUCUGUUAUUAGGGAAGAACAAAUGUGUAAGUAACUAUGCACGUCUUGACGGUACCUAAUCAGAAAGCCACGGCUAACUACGUG
rnacentral:rRNA from 1 species